CGUAAUAAAAAGGGGAGCUGGAAACGGCUGAGAGGAAGCGUGUGCUUCGACCCAUAACCUGAUUCGGAUAAUGCCGACGUAGGGAACUGUGUACGAUAUGCGA
rfam:Erysipelotrichaceae bacterium 3_1_53 genomic scaffold supercont1.2, whole genome shotgun sequence.